AGCGAACGCUGGCGGCAGGCCUAACACAUGCAAGUCGAACGAACUCUUCGGAGUUAGUGGCGGACGGGUGAGUAACACGUGGGAACGUGCCUUUAGGUCCGGAAGAACUCAGGGAAACUUGUGCUAAUACCGAAUGUGCCCUUCGGGGGAAAGGUUUAACGCCUUUGGGGCGGCCUGGGUCCGCUUAGUUUGUUAGGAGGGUAAAGGCUCACCAAGGGGACGAUCAGUAGCUGGGCAGUGAGGAAGAGCAGCGACAUUGGGACUGAGACACGGUCCAGACUCCUACGCGAUGGAGCAGAGGGGAAUCUUGCGCAAUGGGCGAAGUCAUGACGCUGCCAUGCCGCGUGAAUGAUGAAGGUCGUAGGAUAGUAAAAUUCUUUCACCGGGGACGAUAAUGACGGUACCCGGAGAAGAAGCCCCGGCUAACUUCGUG
rnacentral:rRNA from 1 species